rnacentral:rRNA from 1 species
CAAUAGCGUAUAUUAAAGUUGUUGCAGUUAAAAAGCUCGUAGUUGGAUUUGUGGUUCGUCCCGCCGGCUGGGUCAUUGACUUUUGCUGUGCUGGUCGUCCAUCCUUGGGUGGAAUCUGUGUGGCAUUAGGUUGUCGCGCAGGGGAUGCCCAUCGUUUACUGUGAAAAAAUUAGAGUGUUCAAAGCAGGUUUAUGCCGUUGAAUAUAUUAGCAUGGAAUAAUGAUAUAGGACCUUGGUACUAUUUUGUUGGUUUGCGCAUCGAGGUAAUGAUUAAUAGGGACAGUUGGGGGUAUUCGUAUUCCAUUGUAAGAGGUGAAAUUCUUGGAUUUUUGGAAGACGAACUACUGCGAAAGCAUUUACCAAGGAUGUUUNCAUUA